AUGAAGUGGAGUCUGAUCAGUCAUUACGACAUCAACAGUGGCAGGGGCGGAAUUACUACUAUGGCGUGGGCCACCGGAGGUAGGGCAGCAUGCCGGGUCGAGGAUGGCCACUGGGUCGACGAUGGAAUGGAGACCAGGGACGAGGACGGCGAGGCGAGACGGAGGUUUCGUUCAGAUGACACGGCCACCGGGUCAACGGCGGCGUGGAGAUUAGGGGCGAGGCCGAGGUUUCGUUCAGACGGCACGGUCGCCGGGUUGAUGACGGCGCGAAGACCAGGGGCGAGGAUGGCGGAGCGAGGCCGAGGUUCCGUUCAGAUGGCACGGCCAUCGGGAUGA
rnacentral:rRNA from 1 species